AUUGAACGCUGGCGGCAUGCCUUACACAUGCAAGUCGAACGGUAACGCGGGGCAACCUGGCGAUGCGUGGCGAACGGGCGAGUAAUGCAUCCGAACGUGCCCAGAAGUGGGGGAUAGCCCGGCGAAAGCAGGAUUAAUACCGCAUGGGACCUGAGGGUGAAAGCGGGGGAUCGCAAGACCUCGCGCUUUUGGAGCGGCCGAUGCCAGAUUAGCUACUUGGUGGGGUAAAGGCCUACCAAGGCGACGAUCUGUAGCUGGUCUGAGAGGACGACCAGCCACACUGGGACUGGGACACGGCCCAGACUCCUACGGGAGGCAGCAGUGGGGAAUUUUGGACAAUGGGCGCAAACCUGAUCCAGCCAUGCCGAGUGCGGGAAGAAGGCCUUCGGGUUGUAAACCGCUCUUGUCAGGGAAGAAACGCUCUGGGCUAAUACCCUGCGGUAAUGACGGUACCUGAAGAAUAAGCACCGGCUAACUACGUG
rnacentral:rRNA from 1 species